rnacentral:rRNA from 1 species
AGAGAAUAGAUACCCAGGUAGUCCACGCCCUAAACGAUGGAUACUAGGCGUAGGAGGUAUCGACCCCUCCUGUGCCGCAGCAAACGCAUUAAGUAUCCCGCCUGGGGAGUACGGCCGCAAGGUUGAAACUCAAAUGAAUUGACGGGGACCCGCACAAGCGGUGGAGCAUGUGGAUUAAUUCGAUACUAACCGAAGAACCUUACCCACUCUUGACAUUGAAGGAAAGCUCUAGAGAUAGGGCCCUCUCCCACAAGGAGACCUGAAGACAGAUGUUGCAUGGCUGUCGUCAGCUCGUGCCGUGAGGUGUACGGUUAAGUCCGCCAACGAGCGCAACCCUCGUUCUGUGUUACCAGCGAGUAAAGUCGGGCACUCACAGGAGACCGCCAGUGUAAGCCGGAGGAAGGUGGGGAUGAUGUCAAGUCAGCAUGGCUCUUACGAGUGGGGCUUCACACAUGCUACAAUGGGCGCAACAAAGGCCGCGAUACCGUGAGGUGGAGCAAAUCCCAAAAAUACGUCCUCAGUUCAGA